CCCCAGUACGUUGAAGAAGAAGGUGAAGAAGAUCUCAUCCAGAAAGCCGUGCAUUCCGAAGAAAAGAAAGCGGGGAUGGUGUUUCCCUUCCUGUUUGCUGAUCCACUGGGGCUGUCCCAGAAAGAGAACUACAACGCUACUCUUUCCCAUGCCUUGCUUGUCCACAGGCUGUGAGAGCUGCUGUCAGCUUCCAGAUGGUGCCUUAUUGCUACAUCCUUUAAGGUGUUGAACCCUGUGUCUUCACAUGGCCAAAAGAAGAGAAGGGUAAAAAGAGCCUUGCUAGUUCCCUCUAGCCCUUUUAUAAGGUCAUAGGAAAUGAAACAGACUGCUGUUUUCAUGAGGAGCAUUUACAGAGGGAAAUAAGGACACUCACCAAAUAGGGCUAAUUUGAAGAAGGACACAGCUGACUUAGUAGGAAGAAGGCAGAAGAAUUAUCUCCUGGUAAUCAAGACUCUGAAAAUAAGACUUAAGAUAAAAGACUGGAUACAUGCAAGAACAGAGUUCUUAAAGAUCACCAGCUGAAGAUUGUGAUUUUUCAUUCUUCUAUGCCCUAAGACAGCCAUAUUUUACCAUUUGAAACAUAAAUAAAAAUGACUUCCAGGCUUAUGACCUGUUCUCGAGCCUAAGAAUCUCUUGGGCCACCCAGCCCCACAGAGGCCAGUAGGAGGUCAACUCUCCACCUCCCUAAAAAAAAAAGAAACGAGUGUGCGAGAAGUAUGUUGUAAUUGAAGUAGCAUACUGCCUGACACCCAAGAGGUUGCUCUGUAAGUGGAUUGCCUUUCACCUCCUGCCAUGAUUCUGAGGCCCCCAGCCAUGUGGAACUGGAGAAGGGAGAUGAAAUAAUACCAGCAUCCUGAACCUGAAUGUCCAGCUUCGCCUUGUUCUUUGUGGAUUAUAAGACCAUUGAUUAAAUAAAUCCUUUCAUCAAAAUUAUCUUGAAAAAGAAACUACCAUCUAAAUCCAGUUAUUCCAUCUGACUUGGUAGCAGUGAUGUUUGGAGUUUAGGACCUAAAGGUGAAAUGGUAUAUGUACAUAUAUACAUAUGUACUCACACAGACACAUACACACACACACAUAUGUAUGUGUGUUGCCUGGAAAGCAAGUGUGUAGAAAUCGUGGGAUUAGGAUUAGGAUUAUGGGGAUCUAACUGCGUCCAUGUCAUUCUUGGAGAAACAGUUCUAAGAACAAAUGCUGAAGGCAAACAAAUGAUGCAUUCUCAAAUGAAAGAGGUCUGAACUGAGAUUGUGCCCAUCAAUUCCUGAGAAGAGAAUUUUAACAAAACGCAGCUGAAAGAGAUGCAAGCUAAAGCCAGGCCACAAAUUUUAUUUACUUAAAAAUAUCAGGGAGCAUCCAUUUUUCCUCUUUCAACAUGACAUGUAAGACAAAGCAUACUGUUGAAAAGAAAAAUAAAAUGAUGUUUUAAUAACUCAAAGAAGGAACACGUACAUGAAAGUGGUUUCUCACUGGAAUCUGCAAUAGUAACAAAGGAGACAGUGAGCAUCAAACAUCUGGGUUGUGGGCUCCCAUACACUUCCAUGAGAUUAUCCAGAAAACCAUGAAUUCUUGGGUGAGUGGGCAAUUUUCCUGAUAAGAGUGGAUGGCUACAAGAAAGGCAUCACCCCAACACUGGCCAGACUUUCACCUAUAAUCUUGGGUUAGUUGUCUCAUUGAGUAGAACAGAAAAAUAGCAUCAAUAUGAAUUAUUUUUUAAGGAGGUAACUUUAGGAUUUUUCUUCUGAGCAACACACAAGCAAAAAAGAAAAAAAAAAGAAAAAAGAGAAAAACCACUGACCAUAAAUGGCUUAAUCUCCAGGCCCAGCCUCCAGUGUUGCUCCAGAUUCAAACUGACAUUUGAUGACAAUAUAAGACAUUCAUCUUUUGUGAAUCUAUUGUGAGAAAUAGGGAAUCUAUUUCUCUAUGGUUUUUUAGUAGUGUGGGCCAAACUGUGUCUCUUCUCCCCAAAGUUAACGUGCUGAAACACUAACCUUCAGUACUUCAGAAUGUGAUAUUACUGGGAACAGGGCCUUUAAAGAGGCAAUUAAGUGAAAAUGAGGCAAUGAAGGUGGGCCCUAAUUUAAUUUUAAUGGUGUUCUCAUAUACAGGGGAAAAUCUGGGUGCUCGGAAAGACACCAGAAGCACACAGAAGAAGAUCAUAUGAAGACACAACAAGAAGGUGACUAGCUGCAAGCCAAGAAGAGAAGCCUCAGAAGAAAUCAAACGUACUAGCACCUUGAUCUUGGAAUUCCAGUCUCCAAAGCUGCGAGAAAAUAAAAUUCUGUUGCUUAAGCUGCCAAGACUAUGGUAUUUUCUUAUGGCAAUCUUAGCAAAAUAACCCUAUUAGCAAACAAAUGCAUACAAAAUCUCUGUAAAUACAGCAGGUUUCCUUUUUAAAAAAACUCUUUAUUUUGAAAAAUUAUAGUUCUACAACAAAUAAUAAAAAAGAUAUACAGGAUGGUCCUAUUUACUCUUGACUCAGUUUCCCUUAUAGUAACAUCUUAUAUAACUACUAGGAAAAUGAUGUUGAUACAUUCCACAUAUCUUGUUAAAAUUUAACCAGUUUUACAUGUAUUAGUUUGUUCUAUGCAAUUUUCUUGCAUGUGUAGACCCAUGUUACCACUACCAUAGAGAAAAUCCAGAAUCAUUCCAUCACCAGAGGCUCCUUCAUGCUGUCUCUUUAUACUCAUUCUUACCUCUUUCUCUAGCUCAUCCCUAACCCCUCACAACCAUUAAUCUGUUCUCCAUCUCUACAACCCUGUUAUUUCAAGAAUGCCAUAUAAUGAGAAUCAAAAUUAAGUGAACUUUUGGGACUAUUUUCACUCAGAAUAAUUCUCUUGAAAUUCAGCCAAGUUAUUGUGUGCAACAAUAACUCAUUCCUUCUUAUUGCGGAGUAGUAGUCCAUGAUAUGGAUGCACUACAGGUUCCUUAACCACUUACUAGGAUAUUACAGUUGUUUACAGUUUGAAGCUAUUAUGACUAAAGCUGACGCUCACAUUUAUAUAUAAGUUUUUAUACAGAAAUAUGUCUCCAUUUCUCUGGAAAAAAAAUCCCAAGGGUACAAUUGCCGAGUCAAAUGUUAAGUGAAUGUUUACUUUAAAAGUGUUAUAUUGUUUUUUAGAGUGGGUGUACCAUUUUACAUUACCAUCAGCAAUGUAUAAGAGGUCCUGUUUCUCAGUAUCAGGCAAUAGAUAAUGUAUGUGCCAUGUAUACGUUUCCAGAACAUGAAAGUAUAGGAAUCUUCUUUUAUUUUAUUAUGUUAGCAUACCCUUCACACUCAAACCUAGCUGUGUGCUGAAAAGGUGAUUCUCUGGAAUUUAAGGAACUUAAAACCCCUGAUUUAUAGCAACUGCAUAUUUUCCAGUUGUGGCUAUUUCCCACCGUGGUUUUCAAACUACCCACAUGACUUAAUUGAAAGUGAAUUAAGGAAAAAAAUACUCACAAGUAGUUCUCACACAGUUCUCACUGGCACAAGCCAGUUCCAGCACACUGCUGCACAUACACAAACAUAUGCACACAUGCAUACACACAUAUAUACACACAUGCAUAUUCACAGACACAUAAAAACACAGAUGCAUAGAGACACCAGAUUUAUCUCCUUCAUUCGUACAGAUGGACCAUUAAAUAAGAUGACAAGAUGAAUUUAAUAGCAUGACAUAAUCAAAUAUAGAGACAGAUAUAAAAUACAUAGAGUAUGAAACUAUGAAACAAUUUUGGAAAUAAAAGUGUAUAUUAAUGUGCAAAUAUAUGUAUAGAAUAUGAGACUGAAAACACCAAAAUGUUGAUACUGUUUAUUUCUGGGUAGUUGGAUGACAAGUGAAUUUAGUUUUUCUGAUUGUGCUUUUCUUUAUCUUUAAGGAACAUGUUUUCUUUUAAUCAGAAAGAAAUAAUUACAUAUAUAUGUAAUUAACAUAUAUUGUAUAAUAUAUAUCACAUAUAUUCCACAUAUAUGGAAUAUAUAUUGUGUUUUAAAGUUUAAAAUGUGAGGAGACCACGUCAAUGAGGAACUUGGAACCAAGUAAAACAUGGAUGGAUAUGUGACAAUAUUGUGGAAUAGAGUGAAAAUUCAGCUCAGAAAUAGUGAAGCUUAUUUUAAAUGGAAACUAAAAUAAGAUCAUGUGGAUUAAAUUAGAGAUAUUUCCAGGAGAAGAUAUGUUUGAGCAUAACUUUCCUCUCCUCCCUAUCUGAGGAAAAUUCUGGAAGAGACUUCAUACGUAUCUAUAUUUGUAUCUAUGUCAGAAAAGGAGAGAAGUAAGGCCUGGGAGGCAGCUUGCUGUUGUGAAAGGAAAAUGAAGUCAGAUGAUCCUUAAUUUGGAUACUCUUUCUUACCAUUUGGGGCAAGUUACUUCCUCAAAGCCUCAAUUUCUUCUUCUCUAGCAUGAGAUUAAUAUUUGUGAUUCAUCAGAAGGUUAAACAAAGCAAUUUUUACAAAGUAAAAAGCAAAUUUUACAAAGAAGGCUUUCAUUUUGUUCUGUCCUAUUUUAUUCUAAAUUAUGGUAUGUUACCCAAAUCCCAGUGGGAGCUUUUGUGAGUGAAUGACAUUAAAAAAUUACUGGAACAGGAAAUAUUUCCCUUUAAUGAACUAGAUGAGAUUUUUUAAAAAAAAACCACUAAUUAUGUAUUUUACAUUAUGGAAACAGAGAUUAUAUAAUGAUAAAAAGAUGUGUAUUAUAUUUUAAAAAAUAGUUACAAAAAGUAAAUCUUUUGUUUUCAUGUGAU
rnacentral:lncRNA from 1 species